AAAAAGGUAAGCUAACUAAGCUAUCGGGUUCAUACCCCGUCCAUGGGGGUAUUACUCCCCCCCUUUUUA
rnacentral:tRNA from 1 species